UCUUGGAGUUCUAGCUCACCUUUCUGGUGUUGUUUUUGUACUCAUCUGUUUAAUCUAGUUCUGCCACUUCUUCUUAAACUUCUUGUAAGAUUUUAAGUCUGUAUUUUGUGUCCGUGACAGUUUGUCGAGACUACCUUUAUCUUAAUAUCAGAGCUGAAUCCUUCUUGUUUGAGAGCGGAUUACCUCUCUUCUUGAAGGUAUUCUAGCGCUUUAGGGGUUGCGGAUUACCUUCCUCUAAACUGAUAUUUUCUC
rnacentral:lncRNA from 1 species